AUAUUUAAGGUGUACAACUUGAUAUUUUGAUGUGCAUUGUGAAAUGAUUACCACAGUCCAGCUAAUUAACAUAUCUAUUACCUCUACAUAGUUACCAUUUUAUACCUGUACAUGGAGAGAAAUUAGAGCAAAAAUCUUUAAUAUAUAAUGUCAUGUAUUUCAAUUCACUAGUAAUACUCAAUUCUAUAACCCUCCAUUGUUGGACAAUAGAGUAUAAAAAAUUAAGAAACACAAAUUUCCAAGAAAAUUUAUAAGAAUAGCUGACAAAAUAAUCAAUGCCAAAGCUCUAUAAUGUAUAUUCAUAUAUGAGUGUGCAUUAACAAUAAAAAUCAGACUCUAUUAAUUUUAAUGUUAAAAUUCUUAUAUUUUAUUGUACAUUUUCUGAGGUAUAAUUGUGUUCUAUUCAAAAUAGCAUUUUAAAAACCUUUUUUCCGGGGAGGAGCCAAGAUGGCCGAAUAGGAACAGCUCCUAUUUUUCAUGGCCAGAACAGAAAACCCACAGGAAUAUG
rnacentral:lncRNA from 1 species